rnacentral:lncRNA from 1 species
GGUGUGGAUCUCCACAAAGUGAUGGAAGCUGGGGACUUUAUUUGCAAGGCAGUGAAUAAAACCACAAACUCUAAGGUUGCCCAAGCCUCCUUCAAAGCACGACUUGAAUGAGUUUAUGGUUUGAGAAAGAGAAGAGCCAUUCCCGCCCCAGUUCAUCACAGCAUCAUCAGUGCCAACGCAUUCUGAAGUGGAAGUAAAUAAGAAAGAGCUGGGAAAGGAGAUAUGCUUUGGAAAGUUUAUCAGUGGGUAGACCAUGAAUUCGGUGGAAGGCAAGACGAGGCAUUUGUUCAACUGCAAGCUGGGAAUUAACACCGGUGCACGUCCUUCUGGGGGUGGACAAGGCCUGAUCAUUUGCUCUUACAGAAAUCAUUAUAUUUUUUAGCUUAGUAGAGCUGAAAAUUGACUUCAGAUUUCUCUAAGUAUCAAGUGCUGUGUUAAUGCCUCCUCAAGCCACCUUACCGCCGGGUACACAUUGUUAGUGGUUUAUGAGCCUCGACACAAUGCAGAGUGUGUGGCCCUGAAGUUGUGUGUUUUUCCUCUGGAUCC